GACGAACGCUGGCGGCGUGCUUAACACAUGCAAGUCGAACGGAAAGGCCCUGCUUGCAGGGUACUCGAGUGGCGAACGGGUGAGUAACACGUGGGUGAUCUGCCCUGCACUUCGGGAUAAGCUUGGGAAACUGGGUCUAAUACCGGAUAGGAACCAUCUUUAGUGUGGUGGUUGGAAAGUUUUUUCGGUGUAGGAUGAGCUCGCGGCCUAUCAGCUUGUUGGUGGGGUAAUGGCCUACCAAGGCGGCGACGGGUAGCCGGCCUGAGAGGGUGUACGGCCACAUUGGGACUGAGAUACGGCCCAGACUCCUACGGGAGGCAGCAGUGGGGAAUAUUGCACAAUGGGCGCAAGCCUGAUGCAGCGACGCCGCGUGGGGGAUGAAGGCCUUCGGGUUGUAAACUCCUGUCGCUAGGGACGAAGCUUUGUUGUGACGGUACCUAGAGAAGAAGCACCGGCUAACUACGUG
rnacentral:rRNA from 1 species